rnacentral:rRNA from 1 species
UACGUAGGGUGCGAGCGUUGUCCGGAAUUAUUGGGCGUAAAGAGCUUGUAGGUGGCUCGUUGCGUCGGGAGUGAAAACCUGCGGCUUAACCGCAGGCCUGCUUCCGAUACGGGCGAGCUAGAGUUCGGCAGGGGAGACUGGAAUUCCUGGUGUAGCGGUGGAAUGCGCAGAUAUCAGGAGGAACACCGGUGGCGAAGGCGGGUCUCUGGGCCAUCACUGACGCUGAGGAGCGAAAGCGUGGGGAGCGAACAGG